rnacentral:rRNA from 1 species
UACGUAGGGCGCAAGCGUGUCCGGAAUCAUUGGGCGUAAAGAGCUCGUAGGCGGCCUGUUGCGUCCGCUGUGAAAUCCCGGGGCUUAACCCCGGGCGUGCAGUGGAUACGGGCUGGCUGGAGGCAGGCAGGGGAGAACGGAAUUCCCGGUGUAGCGGUGAAAUGCGCAGAUAUCGGGAGGAACACCGGUGGCGAAGGCGGUUCUCUGGGCCUGUACUGACGGCUGAGGAGCGAAAGCGUGGGGAGCGAACAGG